UACGAAGGGUGCUAGCGUUGUUCGGAAUUACUGGGCGUAAAGAGCGCGUAGGCGGUUAUACAAGUCAGGGGUGAAAUCCCAGAGCUUAACUCUGGAACUGCCUUUGAAAACUGUAUAGCUGGAGUGUGUGAGGGGAUAGCGGAAUUCUUAAUGUAGAGGUGAAAUUCGUAGAUAUUAAGAGGAACACCGGUGGCGAAGGCGGCUAUCUGGCACACAACUGACGCUGAGGCGCGAAAAGCGUGGGGGAUCAAACAGG
rnacentral:rRNA from 1 species